AAAGGUUCUCAUUCUACUGAGAAUGUAAGGCAGCUCCUCAGAAGAUUGGAUAGGUGGUCUGCCAUCCACAUGUACAGGAUGGCUAAUGAGAGUGCUGACUGUCUGGCGAAGUCAGUAAGUCUGUAUUAUGAAGAAUGGCUGGACAGUUUCCAAACAUUAUUUUGGGUUCUGUAAAAGUCUCCUGCUUGUACUUUUGCUACUAUUUUAUUUAUUUAUUUAUUUUUUAAAACAUUUGCAAUUUGAUUCGGUUGUGCAUCCAAACAAAGCUUAAAUAGAUAUAAAAUAUUGGUUUUAUUGAGCAGAAGUAAGGUCUAAGUCUUUGUGAUAUCACAAUAGAACCUCUUUUGGUUUGGGUCUUGGUUAUGUGAGAAAAGGGUUUUUCACUUUCACCUUUAUUGUAUGGGUAUGCUAUGGUAGGAUUUAAGCUAGCUUGUUGGUUAAAAUGGUAUUUGUUUUUAGCAUGUAGAUCAUUUGCAAGUGAGGAUUCUAUUUCAGGAGGAUUGACUAUAUUUAUUUUUGUAGUUGUAUGACUAAAUAUGCUGCAUUUUGAUGUUUCUAAGUAGCAUGUGUGCUUCUACAGAUUGGUCAUGCUGAUUAUGGUUCAGCUCUGGGAGAGUCUCCUAAGUUUGCAUCUGAUUAUGGUCAGUGUUAAACUUUUAGCCAUCUAUCUAAUUCUUUGUGCAAAUAUUACCAGGCAUCAUUGGCUCGACAGCAGCAAAUGUUGAAAGCUCAAUCAUUGCAAACUGGUUCUGAUAUGAGGCAUGCCAUGGCGGCUUCUGCUCUAGAUGGAAGUAAUAGGUUUACCCAUCCUGUUUGGUGGACGUUGAAAGGGACUACUUAGCCUUAAGCAGGCAGUAUCCAAAAUUAUCAAUAUCCCCGGGAUUCACCAAGAUUGUUCUGCACUGGCCAAAGGGAAACCUGAAUCUGUCAUUACACACUCCUGUCAGAUUUGAGCAUGACCUCAUUGAAGUAGAUGCUAGAGCGGAGCCAAAAGAGCCUUCUGCAGAGCCAUUGGCUGAGGAGCCAGCAAAUCCCAAAUGCAAAAGAACCGUAUGGAACGCAUAGGUGAAUCUUUGAGAGACUUGUCAUGUGCUAUAAAUAGUAGGUUACAUAAGAUAAAUAUAUACCGUAUCAAAAAUAUAGGUCAUGUACCAAUAAAAAUAUAAAUAAUAGGUCACAUGCUAAAAAUAAUUGAUUGUGGAAAUUUUAAGGCAGGCUCUCAUUGGCCACUUGCCAUAAAUAGCCAUGUAAUCUUUUGGAAGAGAACCAUCCUGGUGACUUAAUUACUUACAUGUCUUUCGUUUCAUUCUUAUUUUGUUUAUUGAUUAGACUUUUUAUCGGUCUUGUUCAUAUUUAUUAGAGAUCAAGGAGUUUUAUUUGUUUUUGUCUCUUAUGCAUUCAUGCAAAUUUGAUUAAUUUACAGUUUAUAGCUAAUCCAACAGUUCCAUCCAUGUUAAGUGAAAGGAAGUGACAAACCAUAGUCUAUGCAAAUUUUCUUUUCUUCACUUGUGUAUUCGUCCGAAUUUGGUUUGACUUCUAAAGUUUAUAGCUAAUAUGCACCAUUGGACGUUAAGUGCUUUAUGCUAGUUCCCUAUGAGUUAUGCUCAAUCGUUGUUAUUAGGUUUCUUGAUUAAAAUCAAGGAGUUUUAUUUCCCUAUGAAUGUGAGUACAUGUGUAGCUAUAAUCUUGGGCCUUUGAUUAAAUGUUGUGUUUUACCAUGUAUGUCACAAUCCAUGGAAAUAGGGGAAUUGUUAGGGCAAAAUUCAAGUAUAACUUGCCACCCAAAUCAAUGGUACUUGUGUAAUUUCUGCUUGCAUAUUUAAUUCAAAUUUUCACUUUUUCAUUGGUUUGUCUGGAGAUUCAGUUUUUGAACUUUGUUUCUUUGUCUAUGCAGAGAAAUAAGGCGUGGGUUUUCAUUCACCCCAACAAUAUAUGAGGUAAUGCUUCGAUCUUUUGGAAUGGUUUUCUUUGAUUUUUUCUUUUUUUAAUAAUAGAGUAUAAUUAAAUUGAGAGUUGUUGUAGAUGCUAAUAGAUUCUCAAGUUUUUAAAUCUGUUCCUUUACUACUAUUAUUGUGAUCAUUAUGUAGAAGAUUCUUGCUUAGAUUCUCAACACAUCUUAGAUACCAUCAAUUUCAUCCAUGUCACCUAAAGCAGAUCAAUGAAAGAAUGAUAAAUCGAUCCAAUGGGCUGAGGAAUAAAUGAUAUGUGCAUUUUAAUCAAUUGUGCCUGAAUUUAGGCUUACAAGCACUUUAGCCUUUUGACGCCACUCGUGCUAUGAGUAGAACAUAUAGAGGAUUUCUUUUUAUUUAUUUAUUCGAGACCAUUUUAAUUUAUUGUAAUAAAUAUUAUAUUUUUUUAAUUGUGAAGUAAUAUAAAUUUUGUUUAAUAUUCAA